rnacentral:rRNA from 1 species
CGCUAGCUACAGGCUUAACACAUGCAAGUCGAGGGGCAGCAGGGAUUUAGCUUGCUAAAUCCGCUGGCGACCGGCGCACGGGUGCGUAACGCGUAUCCAACUUUCCCGUUACUCAGGGAUAGCCUUCCGAAAGGGAGAUUAAUACCUGAUGGUGUUUGAAGUUCGCAUGUUCUUCAAACUAAAGAUUUAUCGGUAACGGAUAGGGAUGCGUGACAUUAGAUAGUAGGCGGGGUAACGGCCCACCUAGUCUACGAUGUCUAGGGGUUCUGAGAGGAAGGUCCCCCACACUGGAACUGAGACACGGUCCAGACUCCUACGGGAGGCAGCAGUGAGGAAUAUUGGUCAAUGGUCGGAAGACUGAACCAGCCAAGUAGCGUGAAGGAUGAAGGUUCUAUGGAUUGUAAACUUCUUUUAUAUAGGAAUAAAACCUCCCACGUGUGGGAGCUUGUAUGUACUAUAUGAAUAAGCAUCGGCUAACUCCGUGCCAGCAGCCGCGGUAAUACGGAGGAUGCGAGCGUUAUCCGGAUUUAUUGGGUUUAAAGGGAGCGUAGACGGGAUGUUAAGUCAGCUGUGAAAGUUUGGGGCUCAACCUUAAAAUUGCAGUUGAUACUGGCGUCCUUGAGUGCGGUUGAGGUAUAAGGAAUUCGUGGUGUAGCGGUGAAAUGCUUAGAUAUCAUGAAGGACUCCGAUUG